UACUAGAGUAGCACUCGCAUAUCAAUAAGCGGAGGAAAAGAAACUAACAAGGAUUCCCCUAGUAACGGCGAGUGAAGCGGGAAGAGCUCAAAUUUGAAAUCUUAAAGGGUUUCCCUUUACGAAUUGUAGUUUAAAGAAGUGUUUUCUGUUGAGGUUUUGGUAAAAGUUCUUUGGAAUAGGACAUCAUAGAGGGUGAGAAUCCCGUAUUUGACCUUUACUUUCAACUUUGUGAUACACUUUCAAAGAGUCGGAUUGUUUGGGAAUGCAGUCCAAAAUGGGUGGUAAAUUUCAUCUAAAGCUAAAUAUUGGCGAGAGACCGAUAGCGAACAAGUACCGUGAGGGAAAGAUGAAAAGAACUUUGAAAAGAGAGUUAAACAGUACGUGAAAUUGUCAAAAGGGAAGCGUUUGACACCAGUGUUGUUUUUCUGAAAAUCAAUUAAAGAACUGUUUAUGCUAAGUUGUUUAGACUUUAUCAGCUAACUGUUUAGUUUUGAGCUUUUCUUUAAUGCACUUUUCAGUUAACAAGUCAACAUCAAUUUCUUUUGCUGUAAAAAAGCUUGAGGAAGGUGGCUUGAGAUUCGUCUUAAGUGUUUAUAGCCUCUUGCCUAUGCAGUCGGAGAGAUUGAGGUCUGUCAGCGUAGAUCCUUCGGGGCUAAAUGCAUUUGUGCUAAGUUAUAGCAUUUUAUAGACAACUUGUUGACUAUGAUUUGUCUUGUAGCUUACUCGCUUAUGUUAUUUUACCUACGCUUAGGAUGUUGAUCUCUCACAGUCGAGC
rnacentral:rRNA from 1 species